rfam:Ciona savignyi cont_59332, whole genome shotgun sequence.
GCCUUGAUGGCGCAGUAGGCAGCGCGUGAGUCUCAUAAUCUCAAGGUCGUGAGUUCGAUACUCACUCGGGGCA